rnacentral:misc_RNA from 1 species
CGGCUACGACCACAAACGGCAACAAUCUCGUUGUCAAUCAUCACCUCGGUACUACCAUCCGCAGAAUAUUUAACGUUUAACCGCGCCAAAAGAUCCUUUAACUUAGCCGCAUCUAAACGGCGCAGUUCCGUUUUUAUUGUAUUCAAUAAAUUUUCCAUUUCAUACGUCCAAUUUGAGUUUAUAUUAGUAUUAAUUGUGUUUUAGAAUGUAAACAGUCAAUUCUUGACGGUAAUUUUGAUGUCUUGCUUUUACUGAUAUCACCGUGGCUAUCAUCACUCAUAAUAUAAUUACCACUUGGUUUCGAUAAUUUAUCAACACAGCCCAAAUUGGAUAACGGUCUUACUUUGCAAUUAUCGUCACGCUCUAAGAUUAGAACAGGAAAGAUAGUAUCAGGGAAUAUAGUCAGGCUUACUCCACCAACUUUGUUUCUACAUUUCG